GUAGUUCUGAAUGCUGAUGUCUGUUUCCAGGUCUCAUAUGGGCUCACGUGCUCUGCUUGAGCUCCUCUUUCCUGUGUCACCAUCUAAAAAGUAUCCUUGGUCAGAAAGCUUAAUACCUCCUCUGAAGACUGAUAAUAUACAUCAUCUUCCUGGACCAGUCUACAAGUGAGGGACAGUGAAUAUUUUGAAUGGCAGCUUUUAGGCAUUGCUCGUCAGUGGGGGAUGAGGCUGCUGGAGGAGCCACAGCCUCAAAGUUGGCUACUCAACAUGCCAGACAUAGAGAGAGGAGAGUAGAGGCAUGCCUUGACUCCUGGAGCUACCACUUGGAAGUGGAAUCCCUGUCUUCUGUUCUCACUUCAGUGGCCAAGGAAGAGGGCAUGAGGAUGCACAGUCCUAUCACACGCCCUGAUGGCAGAGAGGCAGAGUGCUCGCCUCUGCUGAUGACCACCAGACAUUGUAAAUGGGGACCUCUAUUUUAUGGUAUCUUACACUGUGAGAUGAUGUUAUGUCACCACAUCUGUGAGCACAGGGUGCAC
rnacentral:lncRNA from 1 species